rnacentral:rRNA from 1 species
UAAUACGGAGGGUGCAAGCGUUAUCCGGAUUUAUUGGGUUUAAAGGGUCCGUAGGCGGACCUGUAAGUCAGUGGUGAAAUCUCAUAGCUUAACUAUGAAACUGCCAUUGAUACUGCAGGUCUUGAGUAAAUUUGAAGUGGCUGGAAUAAGUAGUGUAGCGGUGAAAUGCAUAGAUAUUACUUAGAACACCAAUUGCGAAGGCAGGUCACUAAGAUUUAACUGACGCUGAUGGACGAAAGCGUGGGUAGCGAACAGGAUUAGAUACCCUGGUAGUCCACGCCGUAAACGAUGCUAACUCGUUUUUGGAUUUUCGGAUUCAGAGACCAAGCGAAAGUGAUAAGUUAGCCACCUGGGGAGUACGUUCGCAAGAAUGAAACUCAAAGGAAUUGACGGGGGCCCGCACAAGCGGUGGAUUAUGUGGUUUAAUUCGAUGAUACGCGAGGAACCUUACCAAGACUUAAAUGGGAAUUGACAGAUUUAGAAAUAGAUCCUCCUUCGGGCAA